rnacentral:rRNA from 1 species
UACGAAGGGGGCUGGCGUUGCUCGGAAUCACUGGGCGUAAAGCGCACGUAGGCGGAUCUUUAAGUCAGGGGUGAAAUCCCAAGGCUCAACCUUGGAACUGCCUUUGAUACUGGGAAUCUUGAGUAUGGAAGAGGUGAGUGGAACUGCGAGUGUAGAGGUGAAAUUCGUAGAUAUUCGCAAGAACACCAGUGGCGAAGGCGGCUCACUGGUCCAUAACUGACGCUGAGGCACGAAAGCGUGGGGAGCAAACAGG